rnacentral:rRNA from 1 species
AGUGAACGCUGGCGGUAGGCCUAACACAUGCAAGUCGAACGGCAGCACAGUAAGAGCUUGCUCUUACGGGUGGCGAGUGGCGGACGGGUGAGGAAUACAUCGGAAUCUACUUUUUCGUGGGGGAUAACGUAGGGAAACUUACGCUAAUACCGCAUACGACCUACGGGUGAAAGCAGGGGAUCUUCGGACCUUGCGCGGUUGAAUGAGCCGAUGUCGGAUUAGCUAGUUGGCGGGGUAAAGGCCCACCAAGGCGACGAUCCGUAGCUGGUCUGAGAGGAUGAUCAGCCACACUGGAACUGAGACACGGUCCAGACUCCUACGGGAGGCAGCAGUGGGGAAUAUUGGACAAAGGGCGCAAGCCUGAUCCAGCCAUACCGCGUGGGUGAAGAAGGCCUUCGGGUUGUAAAGCCCUUUUGUUGGGAAAGAAAAGCAGCAGGUUAAUACCCCGCUGUUCUGACGGUACCCAAAGAAUAAGCACCGGCUAACUUCGUG